GCUACUCGAGGUAGACAAGGUUCUCUACACGCAACGUAAGUUGUUAUCAGGGAUGAAGGGUUGACCGUCCUUCCGGAUAGC
rnacentral:ncRNA from 1 species